rnacentral:rRNA from 1 species
UGGGGAAUAUUGCACAAUUGGCGCAAGCUUGAUGAAGCCAUGCCGCGAGUGUGAAGAAGGCCUUCGGGCUUUAAAGCACUUUCAGCGGGGAGGAAGGCGAUAAGGUUAAUAACCUUGUCGAUUGACGUUACCCGCAGAAGAAGCACUGGCUAACUCCGUGCCAGCAGCCGCGGUAAUUCGGAGGGUGCAAGCGUUAAUCGGAAUUACUGGGCGUAAAGCGAACGCAGGCGGUUUGUUAAGUCAGAUGUGAAAUCCCCGGGCUCAACCUUGGAAAUGCAUCUGAUACUGGGAAGUUUGAAUAUCGUAGAGCUGGGUGAAAUUUCAGGUGUAGCGGUGAAAGGCGUAGAGAUCUGAAGGAAUACCGGUGGCGAAGGCGGCCCCCUGGAAGAAGACAGACGCUCAGGUGCGAAAGCGUGGGGAGCAAACAGG